rnacentral:lncRNA from 1 species
AUUCGAUCAACUCCAUGUGGUACCACCCUGGCCAUUUGGAACUGAGGUAAAUAUUAUCCAUGAUCCUUUCAUUGUCCCUGAAUUUUGAGGACUUCAGGCAGGGUUCUCUUUCCCUCUACUCAUGACUGUAUUCCUUUUGGGUUUCUGUCUGUCUGUCUGUCUGUCUGUCUGUCUGUCUGUCUGUUUUCAGUCCACCAGGUAGUGCCUGUCACCAUAUCUAGAGCCAGUAAAGAGAAUGUAAAAGCUGUGUGCCAGGAACCAUCUUUUAAACACAAGAACUAUUCUCUCGCUUUGCAAAACCAAGCCAACUGUCACAAGUUCAGCCACGUUCAGGCCUCACUUUCCUACGUGGAGGUGUAGAGGACCCUUGGUUUUCUGUGGACUGUCAUGCCCUCCUCUCCAUGACAUUAUUAACCUGCAACCUCUGUGGGGAAGAGUCCUAAAGAACCACUAAGCUAAGACCGUGAGGCAAGAAAGGGGAGCACAGGUUAAAGUUUUGACCCGACUCGGGCUUGGAUCUCACACCAGC